rnacentral:rRNA from 1 species
AGAGUUUGAUCCUGGCUCAGAAUCAACGCUGGCGGCGUGCCUAACACAUGCAAGUCGAACGAGAAAGUGGAGCAAUCCAUGAGUAAAGUGGCGACCGGGUGAGUAACACGUGACUAACCUACCCUGAAGUGGGGAAUAACCUCGGGAAACCGGGGCUAAUACCGCAUAACAUCGCGAGCUGUAAACGCUUGUGAUCAAAGGAGCAAUUCGCUUUAGGAGGGGGUCGCGGCUGAUUAGUUAGUUGGUGAGGUAACGGCUCACCAAGACAAAGAUCAGUAUCCGGCCUGAGAGGGCGCACGGACACACUGGAACUGAAACACGGUCCAGACUCCUACGGGAGGCAGCAGUGGGGAAUUUUGCGCAAUGGGGGAAACCCUGACGCAGCAACGCCGCGUGGAGGAUGAAGUCCCUUGGGAUGUAAACUCCUUUCGAUCGGGACGAUUAUGACGGUACCGGAAGAAGAAGCACCGGCUAACUCUGUGCCAGCAGCCGCGGUAAUACAGAGGGUGCAAGCGUUGUUCGGAAUUAUUGGGCGUAAAGGGCGCGU